rnacentral:rRNA from 1 species
UACGAAGGGGGCUAGCGUUGUCCGGAAUCAUUGGGCGUAAAGCGCGUGUAGGCGGCCCGGUAAGUCCGCUGUGAAAGUCGGGGGCUCAACCCUCGGAUGCCGGUGGAUACUGUCGGGCUCGAGUACGGAAGAGGCGAGUGGAAUUCCUGGUGUAGCGGUGAAAUGCGCAGAUAUCAGGAGGAACACCAAUUGCGAAGGCAGCUCGCUGGGACGUUACUGACGCUGAGACGCGAAAGCGUGGGGAGCAAACAGG